rnacentral:lncRNA from 1 species
UAAUCUGAGGUGAAGCAAACAGAAAAUUGUGGAGGUUUUGUUGUGCAAGCAACAGCAGGAAAGACAACUCGACUUAGGGAUCUGGGGACUGCUAUGCAGAGUUACCAAGCCUACAGUACAGUAGGAACUUUAACCUGUCCCUGUUCUUUCAUCUGAGUGAGCAGCUUUCCUCCCAAGUGUUUUCUGUCAAGGUGUGCAACAGAAGAACAUGGCGCAAGAAACUAAUCACAGCCAAGCACCUAUGCUUUGCUCCACUGGCUGCGGAUUUUAUGGAAACCCUCGUACAAAUGGCAUGUGCUCAGUAUGCUAUAAAGAACAUCUUCAAAGACAGAACAGUAGCAAUGGUAGAAUAAGCCCACCUGCAGCUUCUGUCAGCAGUCUGUCUGAAUCCUUACCAGUACAGUGCGCAGAUGGCAGUGUCCCAGACGCUCAGUCGGCGCUAGAUUCUACGUCUUCAUCUAUGCAGCCAGGCCCUGUAUCAAAUCAGUCACUUUUAUCAGAAUCUGUAGCACCUUCCCAAGUGGACAGUACAUCAGUGGACAAAGCAGUAUCCGAGACAGAAGACCUGCAAGCUUCAGUAUCAGAUACGACACAGCAGCCAUCUGAAGAGCAAAGCAAGUCUCUUGAAAAACCAAAACAAAAA